CCUACGGGUGGCAGCAGUGGGGAAUAUUGCACAAUGGGCGAAAGCCUGAUGCAGCAACGCCGCGUGAAGGAAGAAGGGUUUCGGCUCGUAAACUUCUAUCAACAGGGACGAAAGAAAUGACGGUACCUGAGGAAUAAGCCACGGCUAACUACGUGCCAGCAGCCGCGGUAAUACGUAGGUGGCAAGCGUUAUCCGGAUUUACUGGGUGUAAAGGGCGUGUAGGUGGGAAAGCAAGUCAGAUGUGAAAACCAUGGGCUCAACCUGUGGCCUGCAUUUGAAACUGUUUUUCUUGAGUACUGGAGAGGCAGACGGAAUGCCUAGUGUAGCGGUGAAAUGCGUAGAUAUUAGGAGGAACACCAGUGGCGAAGGCGGUCUGCUGGACAGCAACUGACGCUGAGGCGCGAAAGCGUGGGGAGCAAACAGGAUUAGAUACCCUGGUAGUC
rnacentral:rRNA from 1 species